UACGUAGGGGGCAAGCGUUGUCCGGAAUCAUUGGGCGUAAAGAGCGUGUAGGCGGCCUGGUAAGUCCGCUGUGAAAGUCCAGGGCUCAACCCUGGAAUGCCGGUGGAAACUGUCAAGCUUGAGUCCGGAAGAGGCGAGUGGAAUUCCUGGUGUAGCGGUGAAAUGCGCAGAUAUCAGGAGGAACACCAAUGGCGAAGGCGGGUCUCUGGGCCACUACUGACGCUGAGGAGCGAAAGCGUGGGGAGCAAACAGG
rnacentral:rRNA from 1 species